rnacentral:rRNA from 1 species
CCUACGGGUGGCAGCAGUCGGGAAUAUUUCUCAAUGGGGGAAACCCUGAAGCAGCAACGCCGCGUGGAGGAUGAAGGUUUUCGGAUUUUAAACUCCUUUUGUUAUAGAAGAUAAUGACGGUAUCUAACGAAUAAGCACCGGCUAACUCCGUGCCAGCGGCCGCGGUAAUACGGAGGGUGCAAGCGUUACUCGGAAUCACUGGGCGUAAAGCGCGCGUCGGCGGGAUAGUAAGUCAGAUGUGAAAUCCUAUGGCUUAACCAUAGAACUGCAUUUGAAACUGUUAUUCUAGAGUAUGGGAGAGGUAGGUGGAAUUCUUGGUGUAGGGGUAAAAUCCGUAGAGAUCAAGAGGAAUACUCAUUGCGAAGGCGACCUGCUAGAACAUAACUGACGCUGAUGCGCGAAAGCGUGGGGAGCAAACAGGAGUAGAUACCCGAGUAGUC